UGGGGAAUAUUGGACAAUGGGCGAAAGCCUGAUCCAGCAAUGCCGCGUGAGUGAUGAAGGCCUUAGGGUUGUAAAGCUCUUUUACCAGGGAUGAUAAUGACAGUACCUGGAGAAUAAGCUCCGGCUAACUCCGUGCCAGCAGCCGCGGUAAUACGGAGGGAGCUAGCGUUGUUCGGAAUUACUGGGCGUAAAGCGCGCGUAGGCGGUUACUCAAGUCAGAGGUGAAAGCCCGGGGCUCAACCCCGGAACUGCCUUUGAAACUAGGUGACUAGAAUCUUGGAGAGGUCAGUGGAAUUCCGAGUGUAGAGGUGAAAUUCGUAGAUAUUCGGAAGAACACCAGUGGCGAAGGCGACUGACUGGACUGAUACUGACACUGAGGUGCGAAAGCGUGGGGAGCAAA
rnacentral:rRNA from 1 species